rnacentral:rRNA from 1 species
GCAAGUCGAACGGAAGUACGUUGUAAUGAUGUUGACAUGAACAGAGAACUUGUCAAAGGGAAUGGAAAUUGACUACAACAAUGGCUUAGUGGCGGACUGGUGAGUAACACGUAAGCAAUCUACCUACGAGAGGGGAACAACAGUGAGAAAUCACUGCUAAUACCGCAUAAGCUAACGCCUUCGCAUGAAGAAGUUAGAAAAAGGAGAAAUCCGCUUGUAGAUGAGCUUGCGCCUGAUUAGCUAGUUGGUGUGGUAACGGCAUACCAAGGCAACGAUCAGUAGCUGUGCUGAGAGGCAGAACAGCCACAUUGGGACUGAGAUACGGCCCAGACUCCUACGGGAGGCAGCAGUCGGGAAUAUUGCACAAUGGAGGAAACUCUGAUGCAGUGACGCCGCGUAUAGGAAGAAGGUUUUCGGAUUGUAAACUAUUGUAGACAGGGAAGAGAAAGGACAGUACCUGAAAAGUAAGCCCCGGCUAACUAUGUGCCAGCAGCGGC